CCUUACCUAAGCUUGACAUCCUUUUGACCGAUGCCUAAUCGCAUCUUUCCCUUCGGGGACAGAAGUGACAGGUGGUGCAUGGUUGUCGUCAGCUCGUGUCGUGAGAUGUUGGGUUAAGUCCCGCAACGAGCGCAACCCUUGCCUUUAGUUGCCAGCAUUAAGUUGGGCACUCUAGAGGGACUGCCAGGGAUAACCUGGAGGAAGGUGGGGAUGACGUCAAAUCAUCAUGCCCCUUAUGCUUAGGGCUACACACGUGCUACAAUGGGUGGUACAGAGGGCAGCCAAGUCGUGAGGCGGAGCUAAUCCCUUAAAGCCAUUCUCAGUUCGGAUUGUAGGCUGAAACUCGCCUACAUGAAGCUGGAGUUACUAGUAAUCGCAGAU
rnacentral:rRNA from 1 species